rnacentral:lncRNA from 1 species
GCACUGAGUUCAAAAUGUAAACAAAACGUUCGUUUAAUUUACGGACUUUACAUGGCCUUUAAUUUAAAAACAACGCUACGAGCGAAGAGCUUUUACAAUAAACUAAAACAGUAAACUAAAAAAUAUUACCGAAAAGUAAAAACCCUUUAAAAAACUUGCCAAUAAGACAGGCUUGUUCUUUCAUUCAAGCAUUGUCCAUUUAUCCAGUAUAGCGAUGUAGCGAAAUUUCCGGCCGUCUUUCACAACAAACAACAUCACAAUAUACGACUUUAAAAGUCAAUAUAUUUUUCUCUUCACUACAGAAUCUUUUCUCCUGUCCAUUAAGUUACAAUUUCCAAAACUAACCAGUCGCUGUAACAUAAAAUAAGCGGGUAUUUGUGAACAAAAAUGCCCUUUGAUGAGACGAAGUAAACAGGCGCGCCAUCUUG